UUAGCUCGGUUUUAUGUUAAUUAUACAUUUACUUGUUAUUUCUUUAACAAAAUAAAUUUUUUCAAAAAUACAUAUAAGCAUCAAUGAUUUAUUUACAGAUAAAAUGCUUUUCUAGGGAAGCAAGGAUUUUGUAGUCGCAUGAAGCUGGUGGUGAAAUCACAAACAUUACAUCUAUCAAAGUGUAUAUUGGUUGUAAAAUCUCGAGUUCAUCUUUUAAAAAAAUAAAUACAAAAAAAAAAUUUAUUGGUAAAUGCACAUACAUUAAAUUACUACCUCAAUGCUUUAUGAACAUGAAAAAUCCAUACACCUAAUCACAGGCAUUCAUCUGCUAUACACUUAUUCCGACGACCUCUUU